rnacentral:lncRNA from 10 species
AUGCCUCAGCCCCGCAAGUAGCUGGGAUUACAGGCACAGGCCACCACACCCAGCUAACAUUUUUUUUUGUAUUUUUAGUAGAGAUGGGAUUUUGACAUGUUGGCCAGGCUGGUUUUGAACUCCUGACUUCGAGUGAUCUGCCCACCUCGGUCUCCCACAGUGCUGGGAUUACAGGCGUGAGCCACUGUGCCUGGCCGGCUCACUGGAUCUUUACAGCAACCCUAUGACAUAGAUUCUGCCAGGAUCCCAUAUCUGAGGAUAAAUAGUGCUAGCUGCUAUGUAAAACAGCCCAUCAAAGGCCGACGAUUUAACAAAACAGAAGUUUAUUCCUUGCUCUUGUCCAGAGCAAGUAGGCGUUUCACAGUCUGCAGGGGUUCGGGGUCCUGAGCUGAACAUGUAGGGGGUUCGGAGUCCUGAGCUACUUCCCACAUGGGGAUCCACCCUUCCUCGGGGACCCGGAACCCACUGGACCUGCCUGGUUGGCCAGUGAGGAAGGAGAGCGGAGGAGGACUCUUGGGAACUCUGAGAAGACUUAGGAGACAGGUCCGAAGUGGCUUCUGACACUUCUGCCCACAUUUCAUCCACCACAGCUCGCUCACAUUUCUGCAUCUAUCUGCCCAGGAGGCUCGGAAACGUCAUCUACCUGGGCCCCCAGGAAGCAAAGAAAAAGGUCUAGUUUUGCUUUGAGAGGUCAACAGGAGACGUCCAAGGUCGCACAGAUGGGACAGGACUAAAAGCCAGGCACGACACUUCCGCAUAGCUUUCCCUGCACCCUCGGAAUCUCUCGAGUGGACUCUCUCCGGGCAGGGCAGUGGCCUGGGGAGGUUGGUCCUUCUAACUCUGGGACGGAGAAACAUGAGAAUCAUGUCAAUCAUAUCACGAGCUCUGCAGGCCAGAAGCCUAAAGUGAAUGGGCAGGGCUGGCUCCUUCUGGAGGCUGCAGGGAGGACCUGUUUGCUGACCCUUGCCAGCCCUGGAGGCCCCUUCCUCCUCUUCAAGCCAGCAGUGCCGGGUCUGAGAGCCUCUGACCUCCCUCCCGCUCUGACAAAGACCCUUGCGGGGUGACGUCAGGCCCACCUGGGCAGCCCAGGACCCUCCCCACCUCCAGACCUGCAGCUCACAUCUGCGGCCCCUUUGCCAGGUCAGGUGAUAGAGGCACAGGUUCUGGGGACCAGGACGUGGACGUCUUCGAGCCAUUAUUCAGCAGCCCACCCCUGGAUCAGCCCCCACCUGGUCACAGCACGUGUGUUCUGAUAUCCAAUAUCAUGUGGCCCGUGCUAUGCGGAGAGCCCGCGUGCAGGGGACAGUCUGUUUUCC